rnacentral:lncRNA from 1 species
AGAUGUCAUUAAUUCCUCACAACUUGUCCCCAAUCCUGUCUCACCCUGGAGACAAAGAAGUGGCCCUGGACAUAGCUUCUGUGACUUGAGUGUGCUCCAGGGAAUCUUCUGGGCAUUGACUUCCAGGACUCUUGUGUUUUUGCUUUGCUUUGAUUUCAGGUCCACACAAGAACACGAGACACCGGUCAGUCCACUUGACAGCAGCAAGGAUCUCAUUCCAGCCAUCUAGGAUAAAAGCAGCCUCUACCAUUUCUGCAUCUCCAGAAAGGAGAACACCAUGACCUCCUUUGAAGGUUUACCAGAGCCCAACACAAUCCAUCAGUCUGACUGGAGUAGGCUUCUCCACCAGUGCUCUACUACCACUAAGCUACAAGCCCAGCUGGAAUCAACUGGAUACGUCCUCUAUCCCAAGCCCAUAGAAUUCUUCAACAGAUAAUUUUUUUAGCUUGUAGUAAGUACUAAUUGCCUGCUGGGUCUAGAGGAUUAACAGCCUUUCCCCAGGGUCUGCGGGCUGGUGGGUGGUGUGGAGAAGAAAACUCUCCAUCUCAAUUGGAUGCUAAGCUUUGUGCCUGAGACCCCUGUCCCUGGCCAAUGGGCU